rnacentral:lncRNA from 1 species
CCAUGAAGAAAACUCAAAAUGUGUUUCUGGGUCAAAGUGACUCAAAAUGAUGGAGCAGGUCACAUAUGUGAAUAUGUGGUCUACACAGACAGUGAGUUGGAACAAGCUCGUAAACACUACUUUGAGAUGGUCCAAGCUGGCAGAGAGGGAGAAUGUGUGACGUCCAAAGAGCUGAGAUGCAGGCUAGUGAGGAACACUGUCACCAGUAUGAUUUCUAUCUUGAGAGCAAGCCAGCAAGGAGAGGAGGUCAGGUACCCUUCCAAGCAUGAACUGAGUAAUAUCCCAUGCUACAGGUUAAAGGCAACACUGUAAAACAUGUAAGUGACUGAAAUGUGUGGUAUAUUUUUUCUUAAGAUUAUAUAAGAAGGCUAAUCUAAAUGUAUUUAUUGUAUUAAGACUGACGUUGUUUAUCUGUGACGCUCAAAAAGUAAAGAUAUUUGUCUCAACAAGUGCAAUUUUAUUUUCUACAGAUGAGCAUUUACAAUAAUCUUCACAAGAGGCUGCAGAAUAUCAAGUCCCCACAAAAGAGGCAGGGGCCAACACCAGAGAGGGGCCAGACAGGCCAAACCAGGAAGGAGAUGACGCAGGCUUGAGUAGUUCGAUAUGUUAAUAUUUUUUGCAGAUUAUCAUCUUAUUUUUUCAGUACUACUGUUCUCCAAGAAUGUUAGAUAUGGUUUUGUGUUACACGUGCUGGCUGAAAUUCAUAUCAAGAUAAACAUGUUUGAUACCUUUUACUAAUUUCUGUCAUUUCAGCGGACAAGGAUAGUCCCAUAGUUCAAGCCAGACAUUACAAGACUCUGCAGGACAUGUACAAAAAACCAAAACUCAACCGAGAUGCUGUCUCCCAAAUCCUUGAUCUUGAGUUUCAAUCAUGAAGAGCCUAUAUUGACAGUGCCCUAAAAGAAGAAGACAGGCCAACAAAGAUCCUGGAUGCCUAUCCAUGUUGCAAAGAUCUUCAUCAUGUAAUGGGGGGCUGCAGAGGAUCUUGGCCAAUGGUAACCACAAAUUCAUUGAGGAAUUUAGGAAGAGAUGGGAAGACUUCUGCACCAAGGUGCAAUUUUACACAGUUUAAUGGAAUCUGCCAUAGCACUCUACAGGGCACUCCACAGGUCCUCCAGAAGAGAUCUCUCUCCAGCCCUGCUUUGCGCUUUGACGGGUCCGGCUGUGUUGUUGCCAUUGGAACAUCUUACAACACAUUUCCAAAGGAAAAUCUCAGUGAAGGUCUGCUUUAUCUGAUGACUUACUACUACACCAUGCAUCUUACUUAUCCAAAGUGUGUGGCCACCCUUCUGUCAGUCAUUCAGACAGAAAUAUUACAAGACGCCAUCCAUGAGCGAGACGCUACAGCCUCAUAUAAAAGAGCCAUUGGAGAAUGGAUGGAUUUUAUUGGGAAGUAGGUUUCUCAGGAUGGCAAUAAUUGUUUGUCUGGGGUAUUUUAUGUUCCACCAGCUUUUGAGGAUGUCCCUUCCAAAGUUUGUCAUGGUAAUGUUUACGUUCUUUUGUGGUUCAUAGAAGAUGCUGGCUUUCUACAGCAGCCCUUUAAAGUGGAUGUCAUGGUUCUAAAUGAUAGACAUGUUGCUAGUGAUGGGAGGAUCAAAAAGUAAUUGUAAGUGCUGUGCACAGUGUAAAUGUACCAUCUAUUUGCUACUAUUUUGUGAAGCACACAAGUAUGUUCUUAAGGCAAUUCGUUAUAAUAAAUAAUUGCUGACAAUUAAUUAGUGCUUGUCUUUUAUCUAGCAUAGAUGCUUUGUCUCAUUUUAAGGUAGAAAAUCUAUCUUGAAUCAAGAAAAAUCAUAUUGUUUUUUUUAGAUCUCG